rnacentral:misc_RNA from 1 species
CAGAACCAGUUUCGCAGUCAAACUCAUUUGUUGGUACUGAAGAAUACAUAGCACCGGAAAUCAUCACAGGAGCUGGCCACAGUAGUGCGAUCGAUUGGUGGGCUUUAGGAAUCUUGCUUUAUGAGAUGCUCUAUGGGCGUACACCAUUUAGAGGAAAGAACAGGCAGAAGACAUUUUCCAACAUCCUAAACAAGGACCUCACUUUCCCUAGUAGCAUUCCGGUAAGCCUUGCAGCUAGACAGGUGAUACAUUCGUUGCUAAAUAGAGAUCCUGCUAGCCGUUUAGGAUCAAAUGGUGGUGCAAGUGAGAUCAAAGAGCAUCCUUUCUUCCGUGGAAUAGCUUGGCCUCUAAUACGGUGCAUGACUCCACCACCACUAGAUGCACCGCUUCAGUUAAUUGGAAAGGAAUCAGGCAACAAGGAAAUUGACUGGAAUGAUGACGGAGUACUCGCUCAUCCAAUGGACUUAUUCUAGAGGACAUGUAUGUGGAACUAGUUAUGUGCAGAGUACUAAAGGAGGGACGAAUUUUCUGAUGAAGAAAUUUCAUAUUGUUGUAUAGAAGCAUGUGUUUUUCUAUAUUUUGCUUUCUUUUUGGCUUGAAGGACCUUCUUCUUGUUUAAGUUUGGACCCAAGGAAGGCGAUUUACGUACAUAGAAUUUGUAGAAUGGUGUGAGUAAUAGGAAAAUCUUCCUUCAAAAAAUUGAGAAUCUGUAUUUGUAGGUUUUGUUGGUAAUUAAAUAAACUUGUCUUAUACUUUUG